rnacentral:rRNA from 1 species
UACAGAGGGUGCGAGCGUUAAUCGGAAUGACUGGGCGUAAAGGGCGCGUAGGUGGUUAUUUAAGUUAGAUGUGAAAUCCCUGGGCUUAACCUAGGAACUGCAUAUAAUACUGGAUGACUAGAGUACAGGAGAGGGCAGUGGAAUUUCCGGUGUAGCGGUGAAAUGCGUAGAUAUCGGAAGGAACACCAGUGGCGAAGGCG